CACGGAGCGGACAGUUUCCGAGAUCGUGAGUUUAGGAGACUGCCUCCUUCCUGGCCUCUCAUCACUAGUCUUUGUUUGGUGGCAUCUCAAGGAUUCUUCAGAGCUGGUGUUGCACUUCUUUGCCUUUGGUGGAGGAAGAAACAGAUUUACUUGAAACUUACAUGCCUCUGGGAAAGAAAGGCUGGAGUGCUGAGCCCCACCCUGCCCUUUGUGGAUCGGCUCUUAUCCUGCCCCAGAGGGCGAGUGGGCAAGCCUCCUUACGACUGCUCUCUUGCCUCGCGGGGAUCAGAAAGACAGACGUGAUGUACGUUCCAUGCUCACCCCACAAGCAUGAAACCCCGCACUAAGACAGCCACUGCACGCAGGCGUCACAGAGCACGUGUGCGGGGCGUCUAUGGACACAAAAGCUCCCGUGGGGGGCGAUGCGGUCUUGGCCAUUCUUUGUCCUUUUCAUCUCAGAGUAAGUCACAGGACAGGUCGACUAUCACCCCAUCUUCCAGAUGAAGAAGCUGAGGCUCCCAAGAGGGAAGCAGUAUGGGAGCAACAGUGCCAUGAGUUCAACCCAGGUCUUUCUGACUCCAGUCAUACCCAGCAUAGUGGAAUGACGGAGUCGAAACCCAGUAAACUGUGGGAGGAGGAGAGGAUGUUCCGGUGGUUUCUGCCUGGGCACCACGGAGGACAGAUGGCAGUGGGUAAGUCGGGGACAGGCAAGUGGGAGGAGGACCUUGGAACUAGUUUGGCUGGGAACCAAAGGAAAACUUGACACCAGCAAAAUACCAUGGGUGGUGUUGACCAUCUGUAAUUGGAGCUACUGGGCCAAGGUUUAUGUCAAAGAUCAGAGCUAGAAGUGUCCACGUGGUACAAAGGGAAGAUGUUUGUACGUAUAAGCAGGGUAGGAAAGCAAGGUGCAAACGGAAUUAUAGGAGCAUGGCUUGAGAGUUUAGAACAUGCCAGGCGCUGGGCCAGAUGCUUGUCAUGCAUCCUUAUGACCACCUGUGCAUGCUCCCACUGCUAUCUUUUCUUUCCAGGUGAGUAACAGAAGCCUGGGGACAUAAGUAGCUCACCUAAGGCCACACAGACAGUAAUAGUGACCUUGUACCUCCAGCCAAAGUCAGCUUCCCAAGGGCAUCUAUUAGACAAAUACAGGACGGAUUCGCCCAAGAGGGGUUACAAAGUUGUAUCCCGGGAUUCUAGGCUCCUUACAUCUCUCUAGUUGCUUAUCUGUAUUCUGUCUAUAGUGAAUAUGCACUAUUUUUGUGAUAGGAAAAAAAGUUUUAAUAAAGCAAAGAAAUAGAGGUGUAAAUUGGUAGGCUUUUUGGAAGACAAUUUGCGGACCUGCAUCAAAAGCUGAACAUUUGGCAUAUUUUUUGGACCCGACAAUUCCAUUUUUAGGAGAUAAUCAAAGAAGCAGGGGAAGACUUCUGUAUAAAGAUGUUGAAAGCAGGAGAUUAGAGAAAAACUGGAAAUACUCAAAUAUCCAACAGUAAGGGAUUGAGACAGAUUUGGGCUCAGCCAUACAGUUCAAUUCAAAACUAGGUAGCAGCAAAAUGGCUCCUGCAAAUUGGCAUGAGUAUGUGAAGAGUGCUCAUGAUGCAUUAAUGCACGAGGAAAAUACACUAUAAAGCAUUACCGACCAAUUGGUCUCAUUUGGAUAAAAAGUGCGUUUAUAGGAAAACAUUCAUUAAACGACUCGGCUUUUAAGAGAAGUAUCAAUGCAAAUAAUUAUUCAGUUUUAACUGUGAUAAAUGAUCAUUGGAAGAGUGUGCACUGACCGUGUGUGAUGCGGAGGAAACCCAGCCAAUUAGCAGGUGGCGCGUGAAGGUUAAGAGUUGGAAGGAUAUACACCAAAAUGCUUCGUGACUUGAAGUUUUCUUUUCAAUGAUCUGUAUUUCCUAGGCUUUUUUUCCUACAGGAAAAUUGGAUUCCUUGGGGAAAAAUAUUUCCUCUUAAAUAACUUUUCAAAUGAAAAGGAAAAAAAACAAGUGUGGAAGUAAGGAAAGGUGAAGAACGUGCGUGUUCACGGGCUCGUGGAGGAGAGACCUUCCAGAAGAGACUCAACAGUAUCGGCUACUCUGAAAGUCCCAGCAGGAUGAAGACCAAGAUAAAGAAAGGAGGAAGCCACUGAUGACCUUACGUUUCUUAUGGGAAACGUUUAUUUAUUGUUCUCUGUCUCCAGCCACCUUCCUCUCUCAGCCCAGACCCACAUCUUCCCUCACCUUCCCCUGGACAUCUGCCCCUGGCUAUUCUGUGGAUAGUUCAAACUUGGGUACCCCAGAACUGCCUACUCUUCACUCCAGCGCCCAACCAGACAGACAGACAGACAGACACCAGACUCAUUCACCUGUUCUCCCCAACCUCCUCAGUUACACCACCAUCCACCCAAACUGAGUAUCAUUCCAGAAUCUUUCCCUCCCCUGCGUAUGCACGCGUAGCGGAUCCUUUAACUAUCUCAUUGACUAACCUCUCCUCUCUAACCUUGAGGCUACAGCCUUAGGCCUUCCUUAGCUCUUAUCCAGACCAACUCACCACGACCCAACCUACCACCCCCCUACUCCUAACCCAUCCUCCACACCUUUGCGGACCCCGAAUGCCUUUGGACCAUUUGACUCACACAUAACACUCUGCUCCCAUUCUCCCCAGAAUCAAGUCUAACUUCUUUAAAAUCUUGCAAAUAAUGAAACAAGGAGCAUCAGGGUAUAUGUAACUCGCCUUACUCAUUCAAGUUAUUUCCUCGGGAUAAAUCCGAAACUGAGCAGUGAUGCCACCCGCCUGCCCCCAUUCUUCUCCAUCGAAAAAAAAUCUUAAUAUUUGUGCCCUGACUCUGCUUGUUUUUUUUUUUUCCAGGCCCCAGUUAUUUUUUUAUUGAGGGAAAAUUAUUUUAAUUUUAAAGCAAUAUGUGUUUAACCAUUUCCCUCCCUCCAGUUUUUUGCUUGUGUUUUCGUUUUGCUUUUACACACAUACUGCUUCAGGUUGUAGAAACAUUUUUCUAACUGGCAGGCGCUUCAUGGGUUUUUCAAAGCAGCAAUCUCUCCCCAGGGAACUCCUUUAAAAAGCAGGGCAGGGUUGGGUGGGAAGUUGGGCUUACUUUCUUUUAGGUGCUCCAAGUUAAGAGUAAAAGGAAAAAAAAAAUAAUGCCGAGAGUGUCUUCUAUAUUGUAGUGGGUAACUCAUUCUCCCUAGCCUAAUGAGCCACUUUCUUUUUUUUAAUAAAGAAAAAUUUAGUAGGCAAUUUCCCUGCAUCUAGAGAUACCAAAACUCUCCUUUGAACCGACUUUGAAUAGUUUGAGGCCGACUUUGGACUGCCUUGAAAUUUUCACAAGAAUAAAACCGUAGCUGGAUAGGUGUCUGGGACAUUCCUCCUUCUCCUUUCCCUUUAUUUGGGAAUCUUAUCCAAGGAUGUCAGUGCCCUGGGUGCUUAUAAUGCUAGACUGAUUUUAUAUGCUAUCUUAAUUGGGGGCUAGUAGGGAGAUUUCAAAAGAACUUGGGUCAUUCAUAUAAACAAUUAGCUUCAAAUAAAACUUACCAUCUCUAGGUUAAAUAUGCAUUUUUAACGACAUAGCUCUCCUUCAAAUCAGGAAGAGUUUGGGAAUGUUGUUUCUCAAAUGCCUGUAUCAAAUCCUCUUUGCUUUCCAAAGCUCGGACCUGCUUUCUCAUCCUCACAGACGAUCCAAGGAUGGUAAGGGAAUGCCUCCGGUCUUCCAGUACAAACCCACCCACUCUUGUCCCCAGCUUACCUUCUUCGGUAUCCGCUCAAUAAAGGUUCUUGGGAGGAACACUGUUCUUCACGCCCCAGAGCCUUUGCACGUGCUAUUGACUCUGUCCACAUGCUAUCCACCCCCACCCCACUCCUCCCUCCCAGUUUCAGCUCCUGUAGUCCUUCCUCAAAGCUUUCCUUGACUGUCCGGGGUGGGUCAAAGCCCCCCUCAUGUGUCCUCCUGGCAUUGUGUACCUCUCCACCCAGGUGUCAUUUUAGAUUUAUUUGUUCAUCAUCUGUCUCUCCAAUGGGAUUGAGCUUGAUGGAAACAGGACCCAUGUCCAUGAUUAUCUCUAGUGAUUACUACCCAAAGAGUGAUUAAGGCCAAUGUGAUGAGCUCAACCAUGAGUAUUAUCUGCAAAGUCAAAGAUGAGAUGCAGCCUUAGAGCACCUGGGUAGGAGGUAGGAGGUCACACUGACCACCACAGAGGUCCAGUGUUGGGAUUCCUUUAUUCCAGGAAGUGUAAUGACUAUGCGCUAAUACAUAAGAGAUGAGGAGACAUUGGUUACCUAGACAGAAGCUCUCUUAGCAAGGCCUGUGGGCCACCUACAGGACACAGACACCCCACCUCUCUUCUCCACUGCCAUCACCCCACUUGAAGCUGGAGGACUGGCCAAAGAUCUUCCCAUCACGUGUCCCGAUUCCACCUUCUAGGCAGCUGCUGGGACAAUUGUCCAACAAUCUAGGUAGAAUUGCUCAUAGCACAGUGAAACCUAUCAGCCCAUUAGAACAGGUUCUGUGCAGCCCUGUGCCUCCCGCCCUGACUUGUCUUCUGUCUCUCCCCAGUUGCUCUGCCUCCCUGGCUUCUUUUGGGAACCUCGGACACACCAGCCCUGGGCUUGGUCCCCCUGGAGGAAAGCUCUUCCUAGCUGUCCCUUCCCUCAUAAAGGUCUCUACUGAAUUGCCACCUGCUCAGAGAGGCCCUCCCUGGUCCGCAGGCACACACUUCUCAUCUUGGCCUGGUCCAGGUUCUUCCUAGCUCUUAUCUCUGUCUGCGUUGUUGUUGUUUAUUUUCUUGUUGACAUGUUUACUACCCAUCUUUUCCUCCCAGGAUCCAUGUUGCAGAGGCCUCCUUAGGACAUGACUCAGUGCUCACUAGCCGGACAGGGAAGCACUUAGCCCAGGUUGGCCGAGUGGAAGAACGAAUACACUCUCAGCUACUGCGGUUGAGGAGCAGAGAAAUAGAGCACGCUAGGAUUACAAGGGUCCUGGGAUUCAUCUAAUCCCAUGUCAUAUCCCUAGGGUCGGCGUCCAGACUCUGCCCGACCUCUUAUAGGGCUUGAGAGCUAAUUCUCACUCAGGGGACAUAGGGGAAUAAACAAAAACAGCCAAUGAGGUGAUAUUAUGUCAUUUUCAUGAGCUAACUUAAAAAUUCCACUCUGACCACUUAGCCCAACAUUUAUUAAGCAUAUCCUCAUGGGGGUCAGGGGAAAGAGGCAGACAUGCAAAGAAAAUAAUCCUAAAUUGGGGCCCCUGGGUGGCUCAGUCGGUUGAGCGUCUGACUCUUGGUUUUGGCUCAGGUCAUGAUCUCAGGGUUGUGAGUUCAAGCCCCACGUCGCGCUCUG